rnacentral:rRNA from 1 species
GAUGAACGCUAGCGACAGGCCUAACACAUGCAAGUCGAGGGGCAGCACGGUGUAGCAAUACACGGGUGGCGACCGGCGCACGGGUGAGUAACGCGUAUGCAACCUGCCUACUACAAGGGGAUAACCCGUUGAAAGACGGACUAAUACCCUAUAACACAGGGAAUCCGCAUGGAUAUAUUUGUUAAAGAUUUAUCGGUAGUAGAUGGGCAUGCGUUCCAUUAGCUUGUUGGUGAGGUAACGGCUCACCAAGGCAACGAUGGAUAGGGGAACUGAGAGGUUGAUCCCCCACACUGGAACUGAGACACGGUCCAGACUCCUACGGGAGGCAGCAGUGAGGAAUAUUGGUCAAUGGACGAGAGUCUGAACCAGCCAAGUCGCGUGAAGGAAGACGGCCCUACGGGUUGUAAACUUCUUUUGUAAGGGAAUAAAUAGUCUUACGCGCUAAGACGUUGCAGGUACCUUACGAAUAAGGAUCGGCUAACUCCGUGCCAGCAGCCGCGGUAAACU